AUUGAACGCUGGCGGCAGGCCUAACACAUGCAAGUCGAACGAGUGGCGGACGGGUGAGUAAUGUCUGGGAAACUGCCCGAUGGAGGGGGAUAACUGCUGGAAACGGUAGCUAAUACCGCAUACCAUCGGAUGUGCCCAGGUGGGAUUAGCUAGUGGGUGGGGUAACGGCUCACCUAGGCGACGAUACCUAGCUGGUCUGAGAGGUUGACCAGCCAAACUGGAACUGAGACACGGUCCAGACUCCUACGGGAGGCAGCAGUGGGGAAUAUUGCACAAUGGGCGAAAGCCUGAUGCAGCCAUGCCGCGUGUAUGAAGAAGGCCUUCGGGUUGUAAAGUACUUUCAGCGAGGAGGCGUUACUCGCAGAAGAAGCACCGGCUAACUCCGUGCCAGCCGCCGCGGUAAUAC
rnacentral:rRNA from 1 species